GCGCCCCCUCUCUCCGGGGCAGCGGGGCCGAGGUGGGAUGGUGUCGCCAGCCCCGGGGUGAUGCGUGGGCGAAGCGGGAUUGUGUCACUCGCCCCCCCGGAGUGAACUAAUGGGCCGCGACUCAGCGAGUGCAGCCCCCGCGUUAUCCCACCCGCCUGGGAGGCGCCGCUCCGUCACAACAUGGCGGGCGCUGCCGCGUCACAGCCCGCCCGGGCUGUCACGGCGCUGUCGCGGGUCGGGCGGGCCGGGGAGAUCGCGGGCGAAGAGCUGCUGGUGUGGUGCAGAAUUACCUGUGCUUAAGGUGUAGGUUCCAUAAUUUGAUGUCCUUUCCCUCUCAGGCAGUGUCAUAUCCCAACGUCAGUCGCUUCCUGCCAGCGUAAAGCCCAGGAAGCCGGUGAGGGUGAGGCCCAGCGAGGUGACCAGAGUCAGGUACAGUGCUGUGACCACCAGGCAGGUGCACAGUGACGAGGCAGCUCUGAGGCCAAGGUGGGAAUUCAGUCCACAGGGCACGGUCCACAUCCGUGGGGUCCCUGGACAGGCACAGGCAUGACUGCGACACUGCUGCACCCAGGGCUGAGGUGGAACAGAAGGGAUGGGUGGAGGCACCAGGUGGGGCUCAGGGUUGCUCCUCUUUCAAAAGCAUCCAGAAAUUAUUAUUCCUAAGGGAUGGCAGUGCAGGAAAGGUGUUAUUGAGAGUGUGGCUGGUGCAGGGAGCAUGGCUGAGAUCUGUGUAAAAACAAGGCAGGCUGUGCAGGUCUGGUAAUCUGGGAUUAUGUCAGGAGAGAUCGGCUCACCCGUGUGCUCCCGGCUGCUGCAUCCAGGUCAGACGGCUGGCUCGGGUGAGGGAGCACUCACCCAGACAAACUAGUGUCAGCACACAGCAAGGGUUUGUCUGAACCUGCAGAGAAAUAAAAUACAGCUCCAGACAGAUCUGUGCAGCUAUUCCACAUUUUUCAGGGCACAUCAGGAACACCACAGCACUGUCCAGCCGUGCUGGGAGCUCAGCCGUGGGGCAGAAGUGUAACAAAGGGAUCUCUGUGCCUGAUGCAGAAUAAGGUGGUUUGGGUUUAUUUUUUAAGCCUGGUUGGAGAUUUCUUCAUGAGCUGCAGCUUUUGUGAAUGUCUGUCAGCACAUUCUGGGUUAGUGCCAGUCAAGGAUUAUGACCUAUAUUAACAUCCUAGAAACAGGGCAGGCCAGCCAGGACUCCACCUCAUGGCAGGACUGCAUCUCAGUCUCCUGAUGUCUGAUAGCCACUGUUACUACAUUAUAAAGUCAGGUUAAAUUACUUCUCACAACAGGGACUUAUUUAAAAUGUGCCCACUCCUUUUGAUAGUGCAUCUCUUGCCUUCUUGACAAAGCAUCUGACAAUCCCUCAGUGAGGUCUAUUUAACUUUCUUAACAAAACAGAAGAAUGGCAUUUGCUACAAUUAUUUAACUGCUAUUCAUAAAAAUAAAAUAGAUUCCUAAGGGGUUGGUUUUAUGUUCAAUGGGACUUACAUCAUCGUAUCCAGUAAUACGAACAAUAUUCAGUUCAGACAUGACUUGGUGGCUUGCUCAAGAAAGCUCCAUAUCCAGACACUGGAAUUUUCCCAUACCUUGUGUGGCACAUAUGCAUCUCACUGGUAGUUUAAAAAAUAGUGUUGUUGGAAAAUCCUAAUAUACAGGACUGGAUCUAAAAGGGGUUUUCUAAGCACUUGGAAAGAAAGACAUCAGGAUGUGAAAACACCAAACAGUGACCCUUAGUGGUUAGUUGUGUACCUUGCACGUUUCUUGCCAUUAGAAAACAUAAGAUAAAAAACAUUCCUCAGCUUUUCAGUCAUGUUAGCAGCUUGAUGGAUUUGAUUUAUGGAAGUCUACACCUCCCAAGCGUCUUUCAAAGCUUUUUCAAAAGCUUUAGGAACAACCCAUAAGCCCCGUGGUGUUCUGUGGUGCCGAGGCAUGUUUGAAUUUUUCAGAUAAACAAACUAGAAACAAAUUCCCAAAAUGUGUGCAGUGAAUUAUUACACAAUACAAACCGAUUUGAUACGUGCUGUAUUCCCUGGGCCACACAUCCCUUCAUGUCUUGUCACAAUCUCUUACACCUUCCUGGCAUAAACACUCCCACUUCUUUUGAGUCAAGCUCUAUGUUUAUUGGACAUUAUUCUAUUUCCAUGAAAAAGGCAUUGACUAUCUGCUUAUUCUCCAAAUUCGGCCAAUUUAAAAUCUAUUGUAAUCAAAUGGAGUUUAUUCAACAUAACACCUAAAAAUCAUAAAAUAUGAAUUAAAAAGCCAUUAAUGUGAACUGUAGUUGUGUGACUGGCUGGAGGUUCUCAUUGCCUUGCUGGUCUCAUGCAGGUUUGUGUUUCCCAACUGCUUUUCCCUGCAGAUGCUCCACAGUACUUUCCAGGUCAGUUAUACCCCGAGGGAAAUGGGAGCAAUGCCAUGAUGAUGAAUGUGAAUUUUUUCGCUCUGUAACUGAAGUAUCUGUUUUGUAAAAUACUCUGAAUUAAUUUGGCUGUUCUAAGAGAUGAAAGUCGUUAGAAUCUGUUAUUAUCAAAACAGUAGGAAUUCUGGAUAUUUCAUAUAUUAAUUCUGAAAAUUAAUACCUUUUACAAGAGUAUAUUAAUUGAAGGAGUCUUGUAUUCAGGCUUUACUGAAAGGUGGCAAUAUUUUCACAGGGAAUAAGCAUCUUUCAAGUAUUUUCACAUUAGAUGGAAAUACUUUCAUCACUUGAGGCCCUUCUUGGAAGUCAUUCAACUAUUAGAACAUUUGCUUUAAAUAAAAGACUGUUUAAGCCAGUGGGAUUCCUGGAAUUCCUGAGCCGUUUAUGCUCUUCUUUACACUUUUCUUAGCACAUCUUAACUCACUGAACAUUUCCCUCUCCCCACAGAUUUAAUACUGGUAAGAAAUAGUCAUCUCAUUAAAACUAUGAAGGCUUGGGCUGGCAUUUCUAGUCUGUUUUAUGGUUAAUUUAGUUUUGACUGGAGUAGUUUCUGGGGUCCUUGGUUACAAACUUUCAAGUGCAGUUAUCUUAGCCCAUGUGAUACAGCGAGUGUGUGCAUGCAGAGUAAAAAUGCAUCCACACCUUCUACACAGAAUAAUAAUAUUUAGUUUAUUAGAGCAGUUUCAGAAAAUAGCAACUGCUUUUACAAAUAUUAUUUAAGGUUUCUCAUAUGUCAGUGAAAUAGGCAUUGAUAAACUUAAAGAGAAAAGAUGGAAAUAGAGCCACAGAGCCAAUAGCUGUGAUAGCUCAUUAAAUUCCAUAAAAAGCUAUACUGGAGACAAAGCAGGUCAGAGGUGGAAAACUACCUACCUGUGCUCAUAAAAGAGACCAGGUCUUGGAAUUGUACCUCUUGGCCCUGUACAGCAGGAGAGUAAAUGGUUAACAUCUUUAAGGAAUGAUUCACUUCGAUUUUCUCAGGGCAACACCUCAGAAUCAGGAACUUUUAAGAGCAGUGACUUGAGCAGAAUAAAAUACAGCUCUGCAACAACAUUUCUCCUCAGCUGGACCCUGCUUUGCCACUGUCACAUCCCCUCCAGGCCUGCUCUUGCUGCCUUAGUCGUUCCCUAACAUUUGUCAAUCUCCUAUCUGUGGUUUUUUAAUUUCUGCCUUUUCAUUUACUUUCUCCCUGAUACCUGCCCUUCUAUUUUAGCGCUCUUAUCUUUUUUACUGAACAAGGUCACAAGUGAAAGUGGGCUUUGGCAGUUCCAGCAUUCCGGCUGACGUUCAUUGACAUCAUGGAACUGUUUGCUCUGUCACGGUAACAGCUCCUGGCUUUGCAAAUUCACAUGUAUUAAAUGUCUCAGAUACAAUUUCAGUUGGUGCCUAUGAGAAAAAAUGCAGGACUGGGAUAUGAACUGUGACAGAGGCGUGUUGGUCACAAACAAAUCCACAUUCCCACUUUGAGAUCCUCUUUCCUCAGGUGCAUCGAAGAGGCGGGGCCAUGUGGUGACUUGUAAGGCACCAGCUUGGCAGGGUAUCCACAUUCCCAUCUAAAAACCACAGGACUAACUGACAUCUCUGUGAGCAGCCUUUUUGAAUUUAACACCUGGGGUAGAGAAGCUGGGAAAAGGCUGGAGAGAAGGAUUUGAGGAGUCCAUUGUGGUGAAGCAUUUUCCGAGAACAUCCUGAAAGGAUAUUACUGCUCACACCGUGUCACUUCUCUGGAUAAUAAAACUGCUCCAGCUUCUGCAUCUGCCAGUCUGGCACCUUUAAUAAGUAAUUAAAUCACACUGUGGAUGUGAACACAGCCACGGAUAAAUAAUAACUGACAGCUCUCACACUGGCAUGCGAGCAGGGAGACACAGCCAGGGCAGGAAAUCACACACAGCAUUUCAUUUGUUACUGAUUUGUCUGUAACGAAGUGAGGAAGAUGCCCUGGGGACUGGUGACUAACAAGGAGCAUUGUUUAUGCUACAAAUCCCAUCCGGUUAUUAGUCUUUGAAAAGUGCUUUGUUUAGCUUAUCAGUGCUCCAGCAGGAAUACCAGGGGCAUUAUUGCUGUUAUAAGUGUAUUUCUAUUCCAAUAUUACUGACACAUAAGAGGUUAUGUGUUACCUGAGGGCUGAAAAUUCAGCUUGUGCUUCAGUGCCUUGUCGAAUCAGGAUCAGGAUGGUGAACACUGCACAAAACCAAGCCAGGAGCAGGUUUCCUUAUUAAUUUUUCUGCAUUAAACUGGAGAACACCUUUACAGAAAUCAAACUUUUCUCAAGGACCACAGAUCAUGACAAAGUAUAAAAACCCUAUGGAGUAUAAAUGCCCAUCAAUUAAAAUUAUUUUAGCAUAUUAGACCUGAUGCUUAAAUUCUGCACUUCACUUAGGAAUUGGACAAUGUUGUAUUACACAACCUAAUUCUGCAGUUAUGCAAUUCCCAAGCACCGUAAGUGUCUGGCAAGUUUUAGGGCUGUUUCGCAACAGCACUGAUAAGCUGCUACUCUGUCAGGUGAUCAAAAUACCUGCGGUGUGCACUUGAUCAAGUUAAUAUUUAAAAAUAGGAACACAAUUUUUUUUUAUUAGGUUCAAGUAUCUUUUCAAGAUGUUAAGUGUAUCUUGGAGGAGAAGAUUUAGAAAGGGAGCGUUUUAUUUUGAGAUGGAAAAAAGUACAUUUCUUUCAUAGAUAUAAUUUAGAAAACCUGUCAGCCCCUUGCCAUUGGGCAACUAAGUUAAUAAUUGACAAAUAAGGCAUAAUUGGUCUUGCUGAAUGAUUGUACACCAACACUGUCAACUCCUCUCAAACAUUUCUGGAAAGGGGAAUGAUAAGCCAAACAUCACAUAGGUGUCCUGGACCACUCUAAAAAGUGUUCAUUAGACUGAUUAUGAAUAAAUAAUUGAAAUAUUUAUUUAGACUUUAUCAUUAGAUUACUUUUUGAAAAUCUGCAUGAAUCAAUUCUUCCCUUUAAAAUGUCAUGUUUAGAAUUUGCUUAUAAUUAGGCUAAAUGUGUGUUGUCAAAUAAUGAGCUGUCCAGUGUCUCCUCCCUGGUCAUCUUACUGGCCUUGUAAUGAGACCCUGAGCAGCUGCUCACCUGUCAGAGCAAGCUGGCCAGAGGUCACACACUGUCACACCUUCCUGACAGCUCCAAACCUCAAAGCAUGGCUUGCUUUACUAAAUACAGCAUACUCUCUUGCAAAAAUGAAUUACUGUUUGUUAGCACUCAAAUCUGCUAAGUGCUCUUUAAACUUUAAUUCCCUCUCCUCAAAGAUGCUGAUGAGAAUGGACUCACCACUGAUGCUUUAAAACUAAAUUUCUUUGUGGUAAAGCUGGAGGAUGUUGUGAGCUGAGCUGUGGCACAGAGGUAAACAUCAAUAUAUAGGCACCAAGAUCAAAAUGAAGGCUAUAAAACAGUUGCUUUUGUGGGCUGUCACAGAGUUUCCAGCCUGAAAUGCUACAAGGAAUGACAAAUUUAAUUGUGCUCUUUGCAAUUGGACACAGAACUACUGCAUGAGAGGAAGCUCCCUAAAAAUCUGUCAUUGUACGCAAAGUCACACUAAAUAUUUUAUUUUGUUAAGACUGUUUAAUGCCAUCAAAAACUCAAAGCCUCACAACACAAACCCUAACUGCCAUAAUCAUUCCUGCAAUCUCUAAUUCAAUCUGCUCGUUCAAAUGUUCAAAGGCCAGCUCAGGAUUUUGGAAGGGGUAAAUUAAUUCUGGCAGACUCACAGCGAUGUCAGAUAUCAUCUGUCUUCUCCUUCUAUCACAUCCAGCUGGGAGGGCCCCUUAUAACCAGGACAGAGCCAACUCGAGCAUCAUUUUAAGUGCUUAGACUCAAUAAAUCAGAAAUUUGAUUUUGUGCAUAUAAUCUGUUAAAAACCAAUGAGAGGUUUGGCAUGUUUUUCCUAGCUGAUCUACUCAGGACAAGUCUAAGCCACUGAUGUCUUUGCUGAAGGUGACCCCAAGUCUCUUUUUCCUCCCAAAUGCUGUGUUAAUACAACUGGGGGAAGGAAUGGCUCUACUGGGUGAAACCAGGGCCACCUUGCCCUCAGUACCUGUUGGGCUCAGAAACCUCUAGCAUCCAUAAGAAUGUCCACAGCUUAACCAUGUAUGUAAAGAACUGCCUUUUUUUGCAUCCUCUGUCACACUGCAGGAGCUGGCUGAGUUUCCCACUUCGCUUCAUUCACUCAGAGAUCACGAGAAAAUAAAAAAUGUGGUGUCAUGAUACUGGGUUUAAAUGAUUUUUCUUUUUCCCAUAUAUGCAUAUAUUGUUCACCCAGAGCAGGAUCACUGCCUGGCUCUUUGCUGUAAUUCACAGUCCUAACUCAAAUGCUCUGGGAGCAGAGCUUGAGCAUUUUCAGGGUCUCAACAGGACACUGCACUGAAGCUGAUGAGUUUCCAGUGCCUUCGCACGGUGCCUGAGCUCAGCAGCCAGAACUGGGAUCAUCAGCAACACUAAACAUUUCAUUUUCCUAUCUUCUGAGCAGCACAAACUCUCUUUCUGCAGACUUGCUCAUGAGUCAUCUGGAAAUAAACCAUAAUCACUUGUCCCUUAGGAGUCAUAUAAUAAGUUAAUUAUUGUACAACACAUGCUAAUACAAAAUACACAAGAGGUUUCAAUGUGUCGAGGCUGCAAAGGGCAGGAGAGCCUUUCAGAAUUUCCAUUGGUUAUGGUCUGGGAAUGCUGGGUUUCCCUUGACUCCGUAUCUAUUGCAUAAUCAGAAACACAUUUCAUUCCCUUUGUUGUACGAGACAAAGCUAAAGAAAUGUGUGUGUUAUUACUGUGCAAAAACAAAGAGUAGAUACCUAAUGGGCUUAUGUCAUGUGUGCAGUGUUUGUAAACACAGCUCUGGGGCAGUGCCAGCUGACAGAAACCACCACAGCUUAUACCUGAAGUAAUGCUCUUCUGGAUCUGCAAAUACCCUCAGUGCUGCAGGGAAGUCAAAAUACAGGAGAGGGACGUGCUGGAUGCAUUUCAGGUAGCACUGAAUUAAAAAAAGCCUCUUUGCCUGGAGUUCACCUCACAGUGCCCUGGACCAUCCUGAGGUUUAGUUACUCCUACAUGGCCAUCCCAGCUUUGCUAUUGUGUGGUUGUUAUCUCAUCAGGAGAGAAUCUGAUCAGUGCAGGGAGAAGAAAAUCUGAAUACAAUGGAAAGGCCUUCGGCAUCUGAAAUUCUUCUUUUGAGAAUCGGAAACAAAUACAUUUAUAACUUCACAAACAGUAGAGAAAGAUUCUUUUCCAGUAGUUACAGAAACAUAGUAUUGUUUAGGUUGGAAAAGCCCUUUGAGAUCAUUGAGUCUGCGUUCUGGCACUUUGUUUUGAAACCUCCAGUUCCUCUUAUUUACAGAUCCUCAUUCUAGGAGGAAAGAUUGGUAUCAAUGGUGCUGAUCUGAAAUUAUUCAUUUGAUGAAUGAGUUUAGACAUAGUUUUAGACAUGGCUCUGGCAAGAGACCCGGUUUCUCAACACUCACCUGGCAGACCUACACAAUGACCUUUCUCUUCUUUCUUAGAAUUAUUAUAUUAGAAAAACUAAUUAAAAACCCUACUUUGUUCUCAAAUGAGCUUGAAUCUUCCCAGUCAUCUGGUUCUUCCCACUAUUCUGUAAAAAAGUCAGAUACUUGGAGGUGCAUUCAUUGAUCUGUCAUGUAGACAGAUGCCAAUCAGGUAUUUAAUUUCUGACUUCAAAGACUGAUCUCAUCGUGGCUGUGGCAAUGGAACAUAUGAUAACACACUUUGCAUUUGAGAAUGCCUCUUUAUCAUUUCAGAGGCUUAUAGAAUUCUUCUCUUCCAACUCCAAAAACAAAGCUUAAUAUUAUUACUAAUUUCCGACUUUGCUAAGCAAAGGGAUGGAUUGUUUGGAAGCAAUUAAUUUACUUAAAUAAAGGAUCUUUUUGCUACCCAGCCAAUGGUACACACUAAGAAUCCUGUUCUGCCACCCAAGGAAGGCAGAGAAUGCACUGGACUUUAUUUCAGUACAUUUAAGUGACUGACAUGACUAAAAAGGAGGGGGGGAAACAGUAACAGGUAUGUGUGGCAUUUGUUCUUCUGUGAUGUUCUGCUAACCACAGUAAAUUAUUAUUAAUGAACUGAGUAUGUCAGUCAAAUUACUAAUUUAUUGAAGACUCUGUACUACUACUCUUCCAGGAAUCACUCCAAAUCUGGCAACCCAGUAAUCACAGAGACUCCAGCUGCCCCAGCAAAUUUUUAUUUGCUCAUUGCUUUCACAUUACAAGGUGCUACUUUUGAAAUGCCCAAGAAGUCUAAGGAUGACAAGAAGUAAUAGAUCCUCUCAUAGUAUACUGUUAAAUUACAACACAAAUUUGUGGAAUGGGUAAAAUGCACCAGAAAAUUACAAAAUUUGUAUUCAACUAUGCAAAAAACCCCCAACCUAUUAUAAAAAUCAACAGUCCAAUAAUCACACAUUUGUAACUGUGAAAGCAUGAACUCAAUUCUCAGAAGACAGCAUGUCUUUUUAAUCAUCAGCAUAAAAAUCCAGCUAUUCCAUAAAACUAAUUUAUAUUGGUGGAAAUCAGGAGUAAGACACACCAGUCUUAGGUCUGGUUCUGCCUAAAAUAAAGCAGAAGUGAUCCAGGCAUAAUUACAUUGCUUUGCAGCCCUGUAAAAGUUUUCUAAACAAACAAAAUCACGGAAGAUCCAUAUUAAACAAUUCAGUAAGUUAGUUUCUAGCCAUGUAUAAAGCCUUUUUUAAUCUGUUUACUGCUUUUUAAGUAAAUCUUUGUGGUCAUAUAGGGGGAAAAUGUUCAAAGACAUCUCAUUACAUGCUCAGUAAGUGUUUAUUCCAGCCCAGGAUCUGUUUAACAGGAAAGGGACAGAUCAGAUUUAGAGGGUCCUUCUGUCAAGGCUGCCCCUGAUGUGGGCUCCUGUCUUUCCCCAGAGCAUCUCCAGCCACUGCUAAUCUACGUAAAACCAUAAUUCUCUGGAUAAACGUGCCUGCUAAAUGCCUUCUCUGAGGCUCUGAGCCAUAUGGUUGGGAUUACAGCAUUUCAGUAGUUAUUCCAAGUGAAUACAAAGAUGAAGCAUAGAAUAGUGGAGGCAGUUAUGUUCAUAAUUCCAUUUAUAAAGGGGAUUUCAGGAUUUUUAAGGCCCACAUUCUGCACCACUGGAGCCAGAACCACAACCUUAGAGCAAGUGCAAGUUAUAUUUACAAAGAAGAACAAGGUGCAAUAAAAACACAUUUUUAUCUUUAGGAAACGUGCUUUUCCCCUAGAUUGAAAUGAUGCUCACACAGCACAGCCCCUUGUCACCAUUGCCAGCAUCACCAUCCUCUGAGGCCACGACGCAUCAGUGGAUCACCAACAGCCAGGACACCUCAGGAGAGACACCGUGUAAUAUUUUAUGUUGUUUCAUGUUUUUCUAACACUGUUUUAUAACAUACAGGAAAAGGCGGCUUUGAAUAGAACUCUUCCAGGACAAACAAUGAGCACAUGGCCUCAAAAUGUGUUUCAAAUAAUACCACAGUAGUUAUAGUUUCAAGUACAAGGACAGACAUAACAACAAAGAGCAUCAACUUCCCUCUUUCCUGGUCUGGUUAAUUUUCCCUUUCCAUCUGUGAGUAUGACAUAAUGAUACAGACUAUUUGUCCUUAAUUUUGAGAUCUGCAGAGGAGAAGUACCAUGUACAAGCCUGGUCUAUAUUGGUUUUGUUAGUUGUAUGUGUUUAGCCAGGCUUUACUUUCCUCCACACACCAUUAUUUACACUCCAAAGCACUGACUCCUUGCAAAGCAUUAUACAUGUUAUGACUGUGUUUAUAGAGUAGAAUUGCUCUCUGUAACGUCUGUUUUUCAUGUCUUAAACCAAUAAAACUUUACAUUGGGCUUAUCAAAA